rnacentral:rRNA from 1 species
UACGGAGGGUGCAAGCGUUACUCGGAAUUAUUGGGCGUAAAGGGUAGGUAGGUGGUCUUAUUUGUCCGGUGUGAAAUCCUUGGGCUUAACCUGAGAAGUGCAUUGGAAACGGUAAGACUAGAGUCCUGGAGAGGGUCGUGGAAUUCCCGGUGUAGCGGUGAAAUGCGUAGAGAUCGGGAGGAACACCAGAGGCGAAGGCGGCGACCUGGACAGGAACUGACACUCAACUACGAAAGCGUGGGGAGCAAACAG